rnacentral:rRNA from 1 species
GACGAACGCUGGCGGCGUGCCUAAUACAUGCAAGUAGAACGCUGAAGGAGGAGCUUGCUUCUCUGGAUGAGUUGCGAACGGGUGAGUAACGCGUAGGUAACCUGCCUGGUAGCGGGGGAUAACUAUUGGAAACGAUAGCUAAUACCGCAUAAGAGUAGGUGUUGCAUGACAUUUACUUAAAAGGUGCAAUUGCAUCACUACCAGAUGGACCUGCGUUGUAUUAGCUAGUUGGUGAGGUAACGGCUCACCAAGGCAACGAUACAUAGCCGACCUGAGAGGGGGAUAGGCCAAACAGGGACUGAGACACGGCCCAGACUCCUACGGGAGGCAGCAGUAGGGAAUAUUCGGCAAUGGACGGAAGUCUGACCGAGCAAAGCCGCGUGAGUGAUGAAGGUUUUCGGAUCGUAAAGCUCUGUUGUAAGAGAAGAACGAGUGUGAGAGUGGAAAGUUCACACUGUGACGGUAUCUUACCAGAAAGGGACGGCUAACUACGUG